AAGUAUUAAAGGUCCCGCCUGCCCAGUGAAACAUCUUCAACGGCCGCGGUAUUCUAACCGUGCAAAGGUAGCGUAAUCACUUGUCUUCUAAAUAAAGACCAGUAUGAAUGGCUAAAUGAGGACAAACCUGUCUCUUAUAGUUAAUCAGUGAAACUGAUCUUCCAGUACAAAAGCUGGAAUUAAAACAUAAGACGAGAAGACCCCGUGGAGCUUAAAAUAAACUACUACCCAAAGCUAGUAGAACCUUUUCAGUUGGGGCGACUUCGGAAUACAAUAAAACUUCCGAGCACAGAACCACACCUUCUACCAAAGGCCAACAAGCCAAACACAUUGACCCGGCUAAUGCCGAACAACGAACCAAGUUACCCCGGGGAUAACAGCGCUAUCUUCUUUAAGAGUUCAUAUCAACAAGAAGGUUUACGACCUCGAUGUUGGAUCAGGACACCCAAAUGGUGCAGCCGCUAUUAAAGGUUCGUUUGUUCAACGAUUAAUGUCCUACGUGAUCUGAG
rnacentral:rRNA from 1 species